AGACGGAGGGUGCAAGCGUUAAUCGGAAUUACUGGGCGUAAAGCGCUCGUAGGCGGCUUGUUAAGUCGGAUGUGAAAGCCCCGGGCUCAACCUGGGAACUGCAUUCGAUACUGGCAGGCUAGAGUAUAGUAGAGGCAAGUGGAAUUCCGGGUGUAGCGGUGAAAUGCGUAGAUAUCCGGAGGAACAUCAGUGGCGAAGGCGACUUGCUGGACUAAUACUGACGCUGAGGUGCGAAAGCGUGGGUAGCAAACAGGAUUAGAAACCCCGGUAGUCC
rnacentral:rRNA from 1 species